GGGGCUGUAGUUCAGUGGCAGAACACGCAGAUGGUCUUCGUUCAAUCCUGGGCACCUCCA
rnacentral:tRNA from 1 species